GACCAGACUCCUACGGGAGGCAGCAGUGGGGAAUAUUGCACAAUGGGGGAAACCCUGAUGCAGCGACGCCGCGUGAGCGAUGAAGUAUUUCGGUAUGUAAAGCUCUAUCAGCAGGGAAGAAGAUGACGGUACCUGACUAAGAAGCCCCGGCUAACUACGUGCCAGCAGCCGCGGUAAUACGUAGGGGGCAAGCGUUAUCCGGAUUUACUGGGUGUAAAGGGAGCGUAGACGGCGAUGCAAGCCAGAUGUGAAAGCCCGGGGCUCAACCCCGGGACUGCAUUUGGAACUGUGUGGCUGGAGUGUCGGAGAGGCAGGCGGAAUUCCUAGUGUAGCGGUGAAAUGCGUAGAUAUUAGGAGGAACACCAGUGGCGAAGGCGGCCUGCUGGACGAUGACUGACGUUGAGGCUCGAAAGCGUGGGGAGCAAACAGGAUUAGAUACCCGAGUAUUA
rnacentral:rRNA from 1 species